AGGACGAACGCUGGCGGCGUGCUUAACACAUGCAAGUCGAACGGAAAGGCCCUUUCGGGGGUGCUCGAGUGGCGAACGGGUGAGUAACACGUGGGUGAUCUGCCCUGCACUUUGGGAUAAGCCUGGGAAACUGGGUCUAAUACCGAAUACACCUUGCUGGCUGCAUGGCUGGUGGGGAAAGCUUUUGCGGUGUGGGAUGGGCCCGCGGCCUAUCAGCUUGUUGGUGGGGUGAUGGCCUACCAAGGCGACGAC
rnacentral:rRNA from 1 species